rnacentral:rRNA from 1 species
AGCGUACACGGUGGAUGCCCUGGCAGUCAGAGGCGAUGAAGGACGUGCUAAUCUGCGAUAAGCGUCGGUGAGGUGAUAUGAACCGUUAUAACCGGCGAUUUCCGAAUGGGGAAACCCAGUGUGUUUCGACACACUAUCAUUAACUGAAUCCAUAGGUUAAUGAGGCGAACCGGGGGAACUGAAACAUCUAAGUACCCCGAGGAAAAGAAAUCAACCGAGAUUCCCCCAGUAGCGGCGAGCGAACGGGGAGGAGCCCAGAGCCUGAAUCAGUGUGUGUGUUAGUGGAAGCGUCUGGAAAGGCGCGCGAUACAGGGUGACAGCCCCGUACACAAAAAUGCACAUGCUGUGAGCUCGAUGAGUAGGGCGGGACACGUGGUAUCCUGUCUGAAUAUGGGGGGACCAUCCUCCAAGGCUAAAUACUCCUGACUGACCGAUAGUGAACCAGUACCGUGAGGGAAAGGCGAAAAGAACCCCGGCGAGGGGAGUGAAAAAGAACCUGAAACCGUGUACGUACAAGCAGUGGGAGCCUCUUAAUGGGGUGACUGCGUACCUUUUGUAUAAUGGGUCAGCGACUUAUAUUCUGUAGCAAGGUUAACCGAAUAGGGGAGCCGAAGGGAAACCGAGUCUUAACUGGGCGUUAAGUUGCAGGGUAUAGACCCGAAACCCGGUGAUCUAGCCAUGGGCAGGUUGAAGGUUGGGUAACACUAACUGGAGGACCGAACCGACUAAUGUUGAAAAAUUAGCGGAUGACUUGUGGCUGGGGGUGAAAGGCCAAUCAAACCGGGAGAUAGCUGGUUCUCCCCGAAAGCUAUUUAGGUAGCGCCUCGUGAAUUCAUCUCCGGGGGUAGAGCACUGUUUCGGCAAGGGGGUCAUCCCGACUUACCAACCCGAUGCAAACUGCGAAUACCGGAGAAUGUUAUCACGGGAGACACACGGCGGGUGCUAACGUCCGUCGUGAAGAGGGAAACAACCCAGACCGCCAGCUAAGGUCCCAAAGUCAUGGUUAAGUGGGAAACGAUGUGGGAAGGCCCAGACAGCCAGGAUGUUGGCUUAGAAGCAGCCAUCAUUUAAAGAAAGCGUAAUAGCUCACUGGUCGAGUCGGCCUGCGCGGAAGAUGUAACGGGGCUAAACCAUGCACCGAAGCUGCGGCAGCGACACUAUGUGUUGUUGGGUAGGGGAGCGUUCUGUAAGCCUGUGAAGGUGGCCUGUGAGGGUUGCUGGAGGUAUCAGAAGUGCGAAUGCUGACAUAAGUAACGAUAAAGCGGGUGAAAAGCCCGCUCGCCGGAAGACCAAGGGUUCCUGUCCAACGUUAAUCGGGGCAGGGUGAGUCGACCCCUAAGGCGAGGCCGAAAGGCGUAGUCGAUGGGAAACAGGUUAAUAUUCCUGUACUUGGUGUUACUGCGAAGGGGGGACGGAGAAGGCUAUGUUGGCCGGGCGACGGUUGUCCCGGUUUAAGCGUGUAGGCUGGUUUUCCAGGCAAAUCCGGAAAACCAAGGCUGAGGCGUGAUGACGAGGCACUACGGUGCUGAAGUGACAAAUGCCCUGCUUCCAGGAAAAGCCUCUAAGCAUCAGGUAACAUCAAAUCGUACCCCAAACCGACACAGGUGGUCAGGUAGAGAAUACCAAGGCGCUUGAGAGAACUCGGGUGAAGGAACUAGGCAAAAUGGUGCCGUAACUUCGGGAGAAGGCACGCUGAUAUGUAGGUGAAGCGACUUGCUCGUGGAGCUGAAAUCAGUCGAAGAUACCAGCUGGCUGCAACUGUUUAUUAAAAACACAGCACUGUGCAAACACGAAAGUGGACGUAUACGGUGUGACGCCUGCCCGGUGCCGGAAGGUUAAUUGAUGGGGUUAGCGGUAACGCGAAGCUCUUGAUCGAAGCCCCGGUAAACGGCGGCCGUAACUAUAACGGUCCUAAGGUAGCGAAAUUCCUUGUCGGGUAAGUUCCGACCUGCACGAAUGGCGUAAUGAUGGCCAGGCUGUCUCCACCCGAGACUCAGUGAAAUUGAACUCGCUGUGAAGAUGCAGUGUACCCGCGGCAAGACGGAAAGACCCCGUGAACCUUUACUAUAGCUUGACACUGAACAUUGAGCCUUGAUGUGUAGGAUAGGUGGGAGGCUUUGAAGUGUGGACGCCAGUCUGCAUGGAGCCGACCUUGAAAUACCACCCUUUAAUGUUUGAUGUUCUAACGUUGGCCCCUAAUCGGGGUUGCGGACAGUGUCUGGUGGGUAGUUUGACUGGGGCGGUCUCCUCCUAAAGAGUAACGGAGGAGCACGAAGGUUGGCUAAUCCUGGUCGGACAUCAGGAGGUUAGUGCAAUGGCAUAAGCCAGCUUGACUGCGAGCGUGACGGCGCGAGCAGGUGCGAAAGCAGGUCAUAGUGAUCCGGUGGUUCUGAAUGGAAGGGCCAUCGCUCAACGGAUAAAAGGUACUCCGGGGAUAACAGGCUGAUACCGCCCAAGAGUUCAUAUCGACGGCGGUGUUUGGCACCUCGAUGUCGGCUCAUCACAUCCUGGGGCUGAAGUAGGUCCCAAGGGUAUGGCUGUUCGCCAUUUAAAGUGGUACGCGAGCUGGGUUUAGAACGUCGUGAGACAGUUCGGUCCCUAUCUGCCGUGGGCGCUGGAGAACUGAGGGGGGCUGCUCCUAGUACGAGAGGACCGGAGUGGACGUAUCACUGGUGUUCGGGUUGUCAUGCCAAUGGCACUGCCCGGUAGCUAAAUGCGGAAGAGAUAAGUGCUGAAAGCAUCUAAGCACGAAACUUGCCCCGAGAUGAGUUCU